UGAGUACGAUGCUCUACGGAGCAGAAGUGUGUGACGUCAGGCUUCCUAGAAAAUCCCGGACCACGUUAAUCCACAUCACCCGUACCCGAAACCGACACAGGUGGGUAGGUAGAGUAUACUAAGGUGCGCGAGAUAACUCUCUCUAAGGAACUCGGCAAAAUGACUCCGUAACUUCGGGAGAAGGAGUGCCUUAUUUAUAAGGUUGCAAUAACAAGAUCCAAGCAACUGUUUAUCAAAAACACAGGUCUCCGCUAAGUCGUAAGACGAUGUAUGGGGGCUGACGCCUGCCCAGUGCCAGAAGGUUAAAGAAGUUGGAUAGUGUAUGCGAAGCUGAUGACUGAAGCCCUGGUGAACGGCGGCCGUAACGAUAACGGUCCUAAGGUAGCGAAAUUCCUUGUCGGGUAAGUUCCGACCCGCACGAAAGGCGUAAUGAUUUGGAUACUGUCUCGGAGAGAGGCUCGGUGAAAUAGACUUGUCUGUGAAGAUGCGGACUACCUGCACCAGGACAGAAAGACCCUAUGAAGCUUUACUGUAACUUGAAAUUGGAAUUGGACUUUGCUUGCGCAGUAUAGGUGGGAAGCGUUGAAGAUAUUCUUGCGGGAGUAUUGGAGCUAUCAGUGAGAUACCACUCUUGUAAUGUUAGAUUUCUAACUUUGAACCAUAAUCUGGUCAAAGAACAGUUUCAGGUGGGCAGUUUGACUGGGGCGGUCGCCUCCCAAAUGGUAACGGAGGCGUACAAAGGUUUCCUCUGAACGGAUAGAAAUCGUAUCUAGAGUGUAAAGGCAUAAGGAAGCUUGACUGUGAGACCUACAAGUCGAGCAGGGACGAAAGUCGGUCUUAGUGAUCUGACGGUACUGAGUGGAAAGGCCGUCACUCAACGGAUAAAAGUUACUCUAAGGAUAACAGGCUGAUCUCCCCCAAGAGUUCACAUCGACGGGGAGGUUUGGCACCUCGAUGUCGGCUCAUCGCAUCCUGGGGCGGUAGUACGUCCCAAGGGUUGGGCUGUUCGCCCAUGAAAGCGGUACGCGAGCUGGGUUCAGAACGUCGUGAGACAGUUCGGUCCAUAUCCGGUGUAGGCGUUAGAAUAUUGAGAGGAGCCUUCUUUAGUACGAGAGGACCGAGAAGGACACACCGCUGGUGUACCAGUUAUCGUGCCAACGGUAAACGCUGGGUAGCUAUGUGUGGAGUGGAUAACCGCUGAAAGCAUCUAAGUGGGAAGCCCACCUCAAGAUGAGUAUUCUCACAGGGUUAACCUGGUAAGGUCACGGGAAGACCACCCGUUGAUAGGCACUCGGUAGAAGUCCAGCAAUGGAUGAAGCCAAGGUGUAC
rnacentral:rRNA from 1 species